GCCUGACUAGCUCAGUUGGCAGAGCAUCAGACUUCUAACCUGAGGGUCCAGAGUUCAAGUCCCUGGUGAGGCA